AUGAACGCUGGCGGCGUGCCUAAUACAUGCCAGUCGAGCGAACAGACGAGGAGCUUGCUCCUCUGACGUUAGCGGCGGACGGGUGAGUAACACGUGGAUAACCUACCUAUAAGACUGGGAUAACUUCGGGAAACCGGAGCUAAUACCGGAUAAUAUAUUGAACCGCAUGGUUCAAUAGUGAAAGACGGUUUUGCUGUCACUUAUAGAUGGAUCCGCGCCGCAUUAGCUAGUUGGUAAGGUAACGGCUUACCAAGGCAACGAUGCGUAGCCGACCUGAGAGGGUGAUCGGCCACACUGGAACUGAGACACGGUCCAGACUCCUACGGGAGGCAGCAGUAGGGAAUCUUCCGCAAUGGGCGAAAGCCUGACGGAGCAACGCCGCGUGAGUGAUGAAGGUCUUCGGAUCGUAAAUCUCUGUUAUUAGGGAAGAACAAAUGUGUAAGUAACUAUGCACGUCUUGACGGUACCUAAUCAGAAAGCCACGGCUAACUACGUG
rnacentral:rRNA from 1 species